GGGGAUAGCUCUGUGGUAGAGUGCGUGCCUAGCAUGCACCAGGUUGUGGGUUCGAUCCCCAGCAUCUCCA
rnacentral:tRNA from 1 species